GUCAUUUUGGCUAGUGGAUGCUUUCCUUGCCUAUGAGCUUGGUUGGCUUCUAUUAUCCUGUGAUUUCGGGGAUGUCUACCGUAAAGUUGCAUGAGUGGUGUUUGGUUUGUUACGGGUGGUUGGCUCUUUGCUUGCGCAACAACUUCCACCUGACAUACCUCUUCAGCUUGUUUCAAUGCGUUAAUCGCAUUGAUAGUCCCUUGGGUUUCUUGUGUUGCAUACCUUACUACGGUAUCGUUUGACGACUUGAUCAUAGUUUUCGUCCCUUGUUGCACAUGCGAUGCGAGAUGAACCUCAAAGCGGCCUUUGUGAUCCACUCUUUUGAUGCAUACGCAUUGAUUUUGUGGCUCAUUGAGUUUCGCUUGGUCUCAUUGAUAUGGAACUCUGUGUGGGCAUGUGGUCUUUAUAUAGAACACAGUUUGCCCAAGCUAAGCCUUUUCAAAGAUGAUGUUCCUAUCACGUCUUGACGUGGUAGGCUAUAUCGAAUAUGAAUGCUACCUGG
rnacentral:misc_RNA from 1 species